rnacentral:rRNA from 1 species
UGGGGAAUAUUGGACAAUGGGCGAAAGCCUGAUCCAGCCAUGCCGCGUGUGUGAAGAAGGUCUUCGGAUUGUAAAGCACUUUAAGUUGGGAGGAAGGGCAGUAAGCUAAUACCUUGCUGUUUUGACGUUACCGACAGAAUAAGCACCGGCUAACUCUGUGCCAGCAGCCGCGGUAAUACAGAGGGUGCAAGCGUUAAUCGGAAUUACUGGGCGUAAAGCGCGCGUAGGUGGUUUGUUAAGUUGGAUGUGAAAGCCCCGGGCUCAACCUGGGAACUGCAUCCAAAACUGGCAAGCUAGAGUACGGUAGAGGGUGGUGGAAUUUCCUGUGUAGCGGUGAGAUGCGUAGAUAUAGGAAGGAACACCAGUGGCGAGGGCGACCACCUGGACUGAUACUGACACUGAGGUGCGAAAGCGUGGGGAGCAAACA